rnacentral:rRNA from 1 species
AGUGAACGCUGGCGGUAGGCCUAACACAUGCAAGUCGAACGGCCGCACAGUAAGAUCUUGCUCUUACGGGUGGCGAGUGGCGGACGGGUGAGGAAUACAUCGGAAUCUACUUUUUCGUGGGGGAUAACGUAGGGAAACUUACGCUAAUACCGCAUACGACCUACGGGUGAAAGCAAUAGAUCUUCAGACCUUGCGCGAUUCAAUGAGCCGAUGUCGGAUUAGCUAGUUGGCGAGGUAAAGGCCCACCAAGGCGACGAUGCGUAGCUGGUCUGAGAGGAUGAUCAGCCACACUGGAACUGAGACACGGUCCAGACUCCUACGGGAGGCAGCAGUGGGGAAUAUUGGACAAUGGGCGCAAGCCUGAUCCAGCCAUACCGCGUGGGUGAAGAAGGCCUUCGGGUUGUAAAGCCCUGUUGUUGGGAAAGAAAAGCAGCAGGUUAAUCCCCCGCUGUUCUGACGGUACCCAAAGAAUAAGCACCGGCUAACUUCGUG